AUGAAGGCAACAGAGAUUCCUUUCGCCACCACAGAGACGUCUGCAGCAUCACCACAAGUUCCAUCUCAGGCUGAGGUCAAGAGUGCUCUAAAAAUUCUGUUCUCAGAUUUGGCGUCUUCUACAGACAAAAAUGUAGUGACAUCACGUCAAAGACAGACAUUGAGUAAACAGUCUGGAAAAGGCAAGAAGCCUGCUGCAACUCCCAUCAAUCCGACACCACCUCCCUGUGUUGGAAGCGGAUUUCGGAGGAAUGUACCACCGCCUUUUCUUGUUGUUAAAGGAGAAGCUAAGCCUGCACCACCACCGCGCGAUGUCAGCACAAAGACACGUAGAGUGUCCUCAGUGAGGGUUCAGCAGCAGAGUAAAGGAACCACUGACAAACAGAAAAUGCCAGAAACGCGCACACUGCCACCGAUUUUAAAAAAAUCACCUGCAGAUGCUUCGGUUUCUAAAUGCAGUGCAGCCGCUAAGCCCUCCAAAUCUAUCAGUAUCCCAGUACCAGAGACUACAGAAAAGCUUGCUCUCCCACCUAUUCCACAGAGGAAUACCAGAGCAGGCCAGGUUUCUGUGGUCCAGGGUAAGGAUAUAACCCCUAAACCCAGGAAAGGAACCACUGACGACAUCAAGAAAAUGCCAGAAACAUGCACACUGCCCCCGAUUCUAAAGAAAUCGUCAACACCUGCAGAUGCUUCAGUUUCUAAAUGCAGUGGGGCCACUAAGCCCUCCAGACUUCCCUGUAUGCCAGUACCAGAGACUACGCAAAGGCUUGUUCUCCCGACUAUUCCACAGAGGACUACGAGAGCAGACCAGGUCUCUGUGGUCCAGGGUAAGGGUAUAACCUCUAAACCCAGGAAAGGGUCACCAAUGGCCAGGCAGGUGGUGUCAGGGAACACCAGUAGCAGGUCUCCAGUACGCAAAGCAGUGAGGCCAGCAAAGGAAAAGGAAGGAAAACCAAAGAAGACAGCCGGAACACCAAGGCCUGAAAGCACUAAGGAACCUGAAAUGGAGAGAUCGACACCAAAGGAGCCAGAGAAGAACAGGAUUCGACCGAAUAGAUCACCAGAUGGGGCCAGAGGACAGAGGGUUCUGUGG
rnacentral:lncRNA from 15 species